CCUGGCUGAAGUUGGACGCUUAACCGACUGCGCCACCCAGGCGCCCCAGCCUAGGUUUUGUGGCUAAAUUUCUUGGUGAGGCCUGCUCUUCAAAAGACUAUUUAUUGAACAAGAAAAAAACAACUGCAGAUGGCUGAGGUGAGGGUGGUACAGAUUGUAACCUUGCUACCUAUCAGUCUAUGUCAAUUCAUAGUCUCCUUUUCCAUUUCCUGUGCCUCUAAGGUCUAGUCCCAAUUAGUAAGAUACCCUCCCCGUGAGUACUUUUCAAAGACUUAUUUGUUGCUUUAAACCUUUGAGGGCUCCCAUAACCUACCAUCUAAAAUUUAACUCUUCAGCAUGAAAGUCAAGGUCCUUCACUAUAUGGCCCCAAGCCAUCUUCGUAUUCUCAUCUCCCACUUUGAUCCAACUCCCAACAAGUUCCAGUUCCCUGCCAAUGCAUUAUACUUUUGAGGAACACCUGGGUGGCUCAGUGGGUUAAGCAUCUAACUCUUGAUUUCGGCCCAAGUCAUGAUCUCAAGGUUCAUGAGUUUGAGCCCUGCGUUGUGCUCUCCACUGAUUGCACAGAGCUUGCUAGGGAUUCUGUCUCCCUCUCUCUCGACGACUCUUGCAUGCGUGCAUACUCUCUCUCAAAAUAAAUAAUAUAUAAACACUAAAAUUUUUUUGAAAUACCCCAAAUGUAUUUAAAGCACUAAAAAUAAAAUAUGCCAUUUACCCACCUUAUCCACAUCUUCCCUUCCCAGAGAUAAACACUAUCCAUCCUUCUCGUGCUGUAUAUGUUUCCAUACUUUUACUAUAGAAAUGCCCUUAAUAUUAUUUUGGGGUUAAAAAAAGUAAUGUUAAUGGCAUCAAAAGGGACAUAUUCUUUUGAAGCUUGCUUGCCAUUUUCACUCAACAUUGUUUUUGACAUUUAUUUAUCCAUCGUGCUGACUAAUUUUAUGUGGCAACAUGACUGGGCCACGGAGUGCCCAGAUAUUUGGUUAAACAUUCCUGGUGCGUCUGUGAGGGCUUUUCUGGAUGAGAUUAACAUUUGAAUCCAUAGACCGAAGUAAAGCCUAUUGCCCUCCCCAGUGUGGUUUGGCCUCAGUCAGUCCAUUGUCAACUGUCAACUUGAAUUAAAACAAAAAGGCAUACUACGAGAGAAUGCUUUCUAUCCUCUUGACUGUCUUUGAACUGAGACAAUGGCCUUCCUCUGUCUUUGGACUCGGACUGGAACUUAUACCAAUGGGCUCUCUGGUUUGUCAGGCCUUCAGAAUCAGAUUGGAAAUACAUCAGCUCUCCUGGUGCUCCAACUGCUGACUUCAGAUCCUGGGACUUCUCUGCCUCCACAACCAUGUGAGCCAAUUUCUUAUAACAAAUUAAGAAACAUAUCUAGAUAUCUAGAUAUCUAGAUAGCUAUAUCUCCAUCCUACUGGCUCAGACUAGUACAUCCAUAUUGACAAAACUUAGUGGGUUUUGUUUUUUUUGUUUAUUUUAGACAGUGUAAAGUGUGCAUGCAAGUCGGGGAGAGGGGCAGAGGAGAGAGAGAAUCCCAAGCAGACUCCACACCCAGCACCGAGUUGCUCAACCAAGCCACCUAGGUGCCCCAAGAAAACCUAGUUUUUAAUCGCGACAUAAUAUUCCAACUGCAUGAGUAAAUCAAUUUAUUCCAUCCCUCUAGUGAAAGAUCACGGAGACAUCUCCACUUUUUCCCCCCUAGAAAAGUGUAGUUUCCUUGGGCCCAUAUGCUACUUUCUCCCAAGAAUAAUUAUUACUAAUAUUUAGCUUUACUAGUUAUUGUUAAGCUGUUUUUCCAAAGUGGUGUUAAGUGGUUUCUGUUCGUUUUAAUUUACAUACUGACUUCUGGUAAGGUAGAGCACCUUUUUGUUGAUUUCUUAUCCAUUAGCAUAUGUUUCCUCUAGAAACUGCCUAUUCAUAUCCUUUGCUCCUUCCCCUGCCUUUGUCUUACUAUUGGGUUGUCUUUGUUUCUUUGUAUCUGUAUUCUGGAUAACAAGAUUUUGUUAAUCAAAGGUGUUGCAGGUUUGACAGAGAUAGUCUUCUAGAGCUUUUUUAUCUGGGAGGUGGUGGCGGUGGUAGCGUAAGCAUCCCACGUGGUCUGCAUCAUCAUGCACAUGUCUCUCUAGAGCAGUGCCAUGGAUAACUGACCUGAGACCACUUUCAUGCAAGUUCUUACUUGGGGAUGGGGUGGGGGUGGGGGUCAUGACGGUUCCUAGACCACACAGGAAGUAGCUAUUUGAAGUUCUCAAAUUCAUGGGGGAGGGGAAGAAAAAAAAAAAGAGGUUAGAGAGGGAGAGAGCCAAAGUAUAAGAGACUCUUA